GAUGAACGCUGGCGGCGUGCCUAAUACAUGCAAGUAGAACGCUGAAGGAAGGAGCUUGCUCUUUCCGGAUGAGUUGCGAACGGGUGAGUAACGCGUAGGUAACCUGCCUGGUAGCGGGGGAUAACUAUUGGAAACGAUAGCUAAUACCGCAUAACAGUAGAUGUUGCAUGAUAUCUACUUAAAAGGUGCAAUUGCACCACUACCAGAUGGACCUGCGUUGUAUUAGCUAGUUGGUGAGGUAACGGCUCACCAAGGCGACGAUACAUAGCCGACCUGAGAGGGUGAUCGGCCAAACUGGGACUGAGACACGGCCCAGACUCCUACGGGAGGCAGCAGUAGGGGAUCUUCGGCAAUGGACGGAAGUCUGACCGAGCAACGCCGGGGGAGUGAAGGAGGUUUUCGGAGCGUAAAGCUCUGUUGUAAGAGAAGAAAGAGUGUGAGAGUGGAAAGUUCACACUGUGACGGUAUCUUACCAGAAAGGGACGGCUAACUACGUG
rnacentral:rRNA from 1 species